rnacentral:rRNA from 1 species
GGGUGGUAAUGCCGGAUGUCCCACAUGAUCGCAUGUGAUUGUGGGAAAGAUUCUAUCGGCGUGGGAUGGGGUCGCGUCCUAUCAGCUUGUUGGUGAGGUAACGGCUCACCAAGGCUUCGACGGGUAGCCGGCCUGAGAGGGCGACCGGCCACAUUGGGACUGAGAUACGGCCCAGACUCCUACGGGAGGCAGCAGUGGGGAAUAUUGCACAAUGGGCGCACAGCCUGAUGCAGCGACGCCGCGUGAGGGAUGGAGGCCUUCGGGUUGUAAACCUCUUUUGUUUGGGAGCAAGCCUUCGGGUGAGUGUACCUUUCGAAUAAGCGCCGGCUAACUACGUGCCAGCAGCCGCGGUAAUACGUAGGGCGCAAGCGUUAUCCGGAUUUAUUGGGCGUAAAGGGCUCGUAGGCGGCUCGUCGCGUCCGGUGUGAAAGUCCAUCGCUUAACGGUGGAUCUGCGCCGGGUACGGGCGGGCUGGAGUGCGGUAGGGGAGACUGGAAUUCCCGGUGUAACGGUGGAAU